rnacentral:rRNA from 1 species
GAUGAACGCUGGCGGCGUGCCUAAUACAUGCAAGUCGAGCGAACAGAUAAGGAGCUUGCUCCUUUGACGUUAGCGGCGGACGGGUGAGUAACACGUGGAUAACCUACCUAUAAGACUGGGAUAACUUCGGGAAACCGGAGCUAAUACCGGAUAAUAUUUCGAACCGCAUGGUUCGAUAGUGAAAGAUGGUUUUGCUAUCACUUAUAGAUGGACCCGCGCCGUAUUAGCUAGUUGGUAAGGUAACGGCUUACCAAGGCGACGAUGCGUAGCCGACCUGAGAGGGUGAUCGGCCACACUGGAACUGAGACACGGUCCAGACUCCUACGGGAGGCAGCAGUAGGGAAUCUUCCGCAAUGGGCGAAAGCCUGACGGAGCAACGCCGCGUGAGUGAUGAAGGUCUUCGGAUCGUAAAACUCUGUUAUUAGGGAAGAACAUACGUGUAAGUAACUGUGCACGUCUUGACGGUACCUAAUCAGAAAGCCACGGCUAACUACGUG